UACAGAGGUCUCAAGCGUUGUUCGGAUUCAUUGGGCGUAAAGAGCUCGUAGGCGGUUCGAUAAGUCAGGUGUGAAAUCCUGGGGCUCAACCCCGGGCGUGCGGUGGAUACUGCCGGGCUAGAGGGUGGUAGAGGCGAGUGGAAUUCCCGGUGUAGCGGUGAAAUGCGCAGAUAUCGGGAGGAACACCAGCGGCGAAGGCGGCGCUCUGGGCUGGAACUGACGCUGAGGAGCGAAAGCGUGGGGAGCGAACAGG
rnacentral:rRNA from 1 species